CUCCUUGGUAUUCUUUGUAAAUUACCAAGGAGAUAUGCAUAUAUGUAUAAUAUAGUGUUCUAUUUUUUUUUUAAUCAGUUGACCUGAGUUUUGAAGUUCAUUUGCCUGGCACUGAUUUAAGUACUGUGGAUAAACCUGCCCUCAAGUACAUUACAAUCUAAUUGGGAAGCUAAACUGAAUAUGAAACAAUGAGCCACUAAAUGCAACAAACUGAACUGAAGAAAUGAUAAGAUCUGUGACUGAUUAGAGCUGGCUGCCUCAGAUCUUCCUCUUCUCAUCUAUGCAGCAGAAGAAAUUAUGUUGCGUGAAUAUCAGCAUGAUAUCAGUAAAUGCCUCUAAAGCCUCUGACAAUGUUUUCCAACCAAAAGGUUUUAACUUGAAACUUUCUCAUAAAAAAUACAGAUGCUCAGCUGGUAAUCAAUCAUCUAUAAUUAUGCUUUGGAGAAACUUCAUAUGCAGAGAUACUCAACUUGUCAUAGCUACAAUUUGUAAGUAAUUCUAAAAAAUUUAUAUUCUGUAAUCUCUUUGAAAGUUUAACUCAGUGACUG
rnacentral:lncRNA from 1 species